rnacentral:snoRNA from 1 species
GACCUCCCAGGAUCGCAUCGGGAGAAUAGCUAGUAUUCUGCCAGGUUCGGAGACAGGAGGGAAAACAAGCCUGUCAGAGACCCAUUCCGUUCCCAGUUUGCUCAGUACCUGGUGAUUGGAAGAGACUCUGUUAAAAAA